rnacentral:rRNA from 1 species
CUCUAUGGCCAUACCCUCUUCAAAGCACCUGAUCUCGGAAGCUAAGCAAGGUUGGGCCAGGUUGGUACUUGGAUGGGAGAACAGCGGGGAAUUCACCAAUGAGC